rnacentral:rRNA from 1 species
UACGUAGGGUGCAAGCGUUGUCCGGAUUUAUUGGGCGUAAAGAGCUCGUAGGCGGUCUGUCGCGUCGGAUGUGAAAACCCAGGGCUCAACCCUGGGCCUGCAUUCGAUACGGGCAGACUAGAGUGUGGCAGGGGAGACUGGAAUUCCUGGUGUAGCGGUGAAAUGCGCAGAUAUCAGGAGGAACACCGGUGGCGAAGGCGGGUCUCUGGGCAGUAACUGACGCUGAGGAGCGAAAGCGUGGGGAGCGAACAGG